rnacentral:rRNA from 1 species
GACGAACGCUGGCGGCGUGCCUAAUACAUGCAAGUUGAGCGCUGAAGGUUGGUACUUGUACCAACUGGAUGAGCAGCGAACGGGUGAGUAACGCGUGGGGAAUCUGCCUUUGAGCGGGGGACAACAUUUGGAAACGAAUGCUAAUACCGCAUAAAAACUUUAAACACAAGUUUUAAGUUUGAAAGAUGCAAUUGCAUCACUCAAAGAUGAUCCCGCGUUGUAUUAGCUAGUUGGUGAGGUAAAGGCUCUCCAAGGCGAUGAUACAUAGCCGACCUGAGAGGGUGAUCGGCCACAUUGGGACUGAGACACGGCCCAAACUCCUACGGGAGGCAGCAGUAGGGAAUCUUCGGCAAUAGACGAAAGUCUGACCGAGCAACGCCGCGUGAGUGAAGAAGGUUUUCGGAUCGUAAAACUCUGUUGGUAGAGAAGAACGUUGGUGAGAGUGGAAAGCUCAUCAAGUGACGGUAACUACCCAGAAAGGGACGGCUAACUACGUG